rnacentral:misc_RNA from 1 species
CCGAGUUAGGGUACUCUUCGUGCCCGACCUCCAACCCUUUGUCUACCUGACCAGAUGUUGCUUCGGCAGGCCCGCCGCUCCGCGAGGGGUGGCCGCCGGGGGCCCUUACCGGCCCCGGGUCCGCGCCUGUCGAUGGCCCCUUCUAAACAAACUCUUGAUUAAACCGUGUCGUCUGAGUAAAACAAACAAAAUAAAAACA